rnacentral:rRNA from 1 species
CCUACGGGGGGCAGUAGUGAGGAAUAUUGGUCAAUGGACGAGAGUCUGAACCAGCCAAGUAGCGUGAAGGAUGACUGCCCUAUGGGUUGUAAACUUCUUUUAUAUGGGAAUAAAAUGUUCCACGUGUGGGAUUUUGUAUGUACCAUAUGAAUAAGGAUCGGCUAACUCCGUGCCAGCAGCCGCGGUAAUACGGAGGAUCCGAGCGUUAUCCGGAUUUAUUGGGUUUAAAGGGAGCGUAGGUGGAUUGUUAAGUCAGUUGUGAAAGUUUGCGGCUCAACCGUAAAAUUGCAGUUGAAACUGGCAGUCUUGAGUACAGUAGAGGUGGGCGGAAUUCGUGGUGUAGCGGUGAAAUGCUUAGAUAUCACGAAGAACUCCGAGUGCGAAGGCAGUUCACUGGACUGCAACUGACACUGAGGCUCGAAAGUGUGGGUAUCAAACAGGAUUAGAUACCCGAGUAGUC